rnacentral:rRNA from 1 species
CAUAUCAAUAAGCGGAGGAAAAGAAACUAACAAGGAUUCCCCUAGUAACUGCGAGUGAAGCGGGAAAAGCUCAAAUUUAAAAUCUGGUGGUCUUUUGCCCAUCCGAGUUGUAAUUUAGAGAAGCGUCUUCCGCGCUGGACCGUACACAAGUCUCCUGGAACGGAGCGUCAUAGAGGGUGAGAAUCCCGUCUUUGGUACGGACCCCCAGGGCUUCUGUGAUGCGCUCUCGAAGAGUCGAGUUGUUUGGGAAUGCAGCUCAAAAUGGGUGGUGAACUCCAUCUAAAGCUAAAUAUUGGCGAGAGACCGAUAGCGAACAAGUACCGUGAGGGAAAGAUGAAAAGCACUUUGGAAAGAGAGUGAAACAGUACGUGAAAUUGUUGAAAGGGAAACGCUUAAAGUCAGUCGCGUCGACCGAGACUCAGCCUUGCCUCUGGCUUGGUGUAUUUCUCGGCCCGACGGGUCAGCGUCAAUUUGGUCCCUCGGAUAAUGGCAAGGGAAAGGUGGCACCUUUGCGGGUGUGUUAUAGUCUUUUGUCGCAUGCGAGGGGUGAGAUUGAGGAACUCAGCACGCGCGCCCUUCUGGGUGUGUCGGGGCCUCGGCCCACGCCACGUGCUUAGGAUGCUGGCGUAAUGGCUUUAAACGACCCGUCUUGAAACACGGACCAAGGAGUCUAACAUGCCCGCGAGUGUUCGGGUGGAAAACCCGUGCGCGUAAUGAAAGUGAAAGUUGGGACCUUCGUCGUGAAGGGCACCGACGCCCGGACCAGACCUUCUGUGACGGAUCUGCGGUGGAGCGUGCAUGUUGGGACCCGAAAGAUGGUGAACUAUGCCUGAAUAGGGUGAAGCCAGAGGAAACUCUGGUGGAGGCUCGUAGCGAUUCUGACGUGCAAAUCGAUCGUCAAAUUUGGGUAUAGGGGCGAAAGACUAAUCGAACCAUCUAGUAGCUGGUUCCUGCCG